GACGAACGCUGGCGGCGUGCUUAACACAUGCAAGUCGAACGAAGAGCGACGGAAGCUUGCUUCUAUCAAUAUUAGUGGCGAACGGGUGAGUAACGCGUAAUCAACCUGCCCUUCAGAGGGGGACAACAGUUGGAAACGACUGCUAAUACCGCAUACGAUCUAACCUCGGCAUCGAGGAUAGAUGAAAGGUGGCCUCUACAUGUAAGCUAUCACUGAAGGAGGGGAUUGCGUCUGAUUAGCUAGUUGGAGGGGUAACGGCCCACCAAGGCGAUGAUCAGUAGCCGGUCUGAGAGGAUGAACGGCCACAUUGGGACUGAGACACGGCCCAGACUCCUACGGGAGGCAGCAGUGGGGAAUCUUCCGCAAUGGACGAAAGUCUGACGGAGCAACGCCGCGUGAGUGAUGACGGCCUUCGGGUUGUAAAGCUCGGUUAAUCGGGACGAAAGGCCUUCUUGCGAAUAGUGAGAAGGAUUGACGGUACCGGAAUAGAAAGCCACGGCUAACUACGUG
rnacentral:rRNA from 1 species